AGUUGGCGAACAAGGUUGCAAUACCGCAAGGUGGGGCUAAUCUCAAAAAACCGCUCUCAGUUCAGAUUGGAGUCUGCAACUCGACUCCAUGAAGGCGGAAUCGCUAGUAAUCGCGGAUCAGCAUGCCGCGGUGAAUACGUUCCCGGGCCUU
rnacentral:rRNA from 1 species